UCUUAAUCACCGGACCACCAGGGAAGUCACUUGUCUUCUUUAGACAUAUCUUAGUUUUUCCUUUGAAAGGCUUUUUGCCGGCUUUAGUCAGCUGCUCUUUACUGACUUUUUUUAAGUUUUGUGUUCUUACAGGACCAAGGUUUAUAACACGCUACCCUCAAAGAGCUGACCAGCACUAAUGACAAAGAAAUGGCUGGAUAGCUAAACAAAUCCCACCUGCCCCACCCACACAACUGCAGGUUCUCUUCAAGUAUUCAGGGAGCCUCUGAGCACUUCAUCUCCUGAGAGCUUACAGGUGAGGAGAAGGACCUGAAUGCACAUCACAGCUAAUAAAAAGAAAGAAAAAGCUAAAGAGCCCAGUGUGGGGUCUACACAGCAAGGCUGCAGUGGUCCAAUGCGGGUCUCUGAGGUCCUGGAGGAGGAAGUGCAUUUGCCGAAUGGUUAAGAGCCCAGACUCUGAAGUCAGCACUACAGCUCUGUCACUUACAGUUCUCUACAGCCACUGAUCUGGACAAGAGCCAUCGUGCACCCCAUCUACAGCCAUACAAUUCAAUGUGUAGUUGCCUGAAUAUUUCAACAUCUUUCACUUCUUGGAGUCCUUGAAGAUGCCACUCUCUGCCUGGAAUGCUCUCCUCCCAUCAGUUUGACAAACAAACUUAAAGGCCUUUCUGUAGCUAUCUGUGAUGUCCCCAACAAAUUAAUAGUUGCUUUUAAUGCUACUUCUGUGCUUUGGACAUAUUCGCAUUAUAGUAAUAUCUGGUGGUACUGUAAUCAUCUAUUUGUCCAUCCAUUUCUUCAUUACUCUGACCAUUUUAAGGGCAGAGGUUCUGCCUUUUCACUUUGUCAGCUCAUUGCCAGGCACACCAAAAUGUCUCCACUUGGAUACCCCACAAAUAUCUCAGACAUGACUUUUUCGAAAGUACAAAAUUUGUUGAAUAUACUUCUUUUCAUCUUCUGUACUUUAAGUGUGAGGAUCUUCAUCGUCUUUGGUGGUGAAUAUUUAAUCAAUCCUAUGUCUUAAGUGAUGGAGAUUCACAGACUAUUGGUUCUCAUCUGUCAUUCACAACCUGUUCCCUUCUCAAGUGGCAGUUUUCUGUAGGGUGUAAUACAGACUUUUUUUCCUUUAAACUCCAAUGAAGUUUCCAUUGUUUCACAGAAAGAUCCUCAUUUGAAUUAAAGCACAGUGUUAAUAGGAACGCUUCCUGGAUGCACAGUUGGAUUUGAACAGGGCAGUGGUAUUUCAAGAGCGUCGCUUCCUUUUUAUCUGGCUUGCAUUUAAAAAGAUCAAGAAAGAUAAUUUCUUUUGCAGAAUCAUUUGCAAAAGUUAUGGUUGUGUACAAACAUACAC
ensembl:lncRNA